AACGUAGGAGGCGAGCGUUAUCCGGAUUUACUGGGUGUAAAGCGCGUGCAGGCGGUUUGCUAAGUUGGAUGUGAAAGCUCCCGGCUCAACUGGGAGAGGUCGUUCAAGACUGGCAGACUGGAGAGCAGUAGGGGAAGGUGGAAUUCCGGGUGUAGUGGUGAAAUGCGUAGAUAUCCGGAGGAACACCAGUGGCGAAAGCGGCCUUCUGGACUGCAUCUGACGCUCAGACGCGAAAGCUAGGGGAGCAAACGGG
rnacentral:rRNA from 1 species